AUUGAACGCUGGCGGCAUGCUUUACACAUGCAAGUCGAACGGCAGCGCGGGCUUCGGCCUGGCGGCGAGUGGCGAACGGGUGAGUAAUACAUCGGAACGUGCCCAGUAGUGGGGGAUAGCUCGGCGAAAGCCGGAUUAAUACCGCAUACGACCUGAGGGUGAAAGCGGGGGAUCUUCGGACCUCGCGCUAUUGGAGCGGCCGAUGGCAGAUUAGCUAGUUGGUGGGGUAAAGGCCUACCAAGGCGACGAUCUGUAGCUGGUCUGACAGGACGACCAGCCACACUGGGACUGAGACACGGCCCAGACUCCUACGGGAGGCAGCAGUGGGGAAUUUUGGACAAUGGGCGAAAGCCUGAUCCAGCAAUGCCGCGUGUGCGAUGAAGGCCUUCGGGUUGUAAAGCACUUUUGGCGGGAACGAAAAGGACUGUGCCAAUACCACGGUUCGAUGACGGUACCCGCAGAAUAAGCACCGGCUAACUACGUG
rnacentral:rRNA from 1 species